GGAGGGUGCAAGCGUUACUCGGAAUCACUGGGCGUAAAGGACGCGUAGGCGGAUUAUCAAGUCUCUUGUGAAAUCCUAUGGCUUAACCAUAGAACUGCUUGGGAAACUGAUAAUCUAGAGUGAGGGAGAGGCAGAUGGAAUUGGUGGUGUAGGGGUAAAAUCCGUAGAGAUCACCAGGAAUACCCAUUGCGAAGGCGAUCUGCUGGAACUCAACUGACGCUAAUGCGUGAAAGCGUGGGGAGCAAACAGGAUUAGAUACCCUGGUAGUCCACGCCCUAAACGAUGUAUACUAGUUGUUGCUAAGCUAGUCUUGGCAGUAAUGCACCUAACGGAUUAAGUAUACCGCCUGGGGAGUACGGUCGCAAGAUUA
rnacentral:rRNA from 1 species